rnacentral:tRNA from 1 species
GUGGCUGUAGCUCAGCUGGUAGAGCACCGGGUUGUGGUCCCGGGUGUCGUGGGUUCAAGUCCCAUCAGUCACCC